GUGUACAUUCUUAUAACAGAUUCAGGGAAGGAUCCAAAUUUUCCCAAAAGUGAUGAGAUUGAGCCACCAGGAACAAAUUCCAACAAUAUAUUUAGUGAUCCCACCUCUCUUGCAGUUCCCAAGUAUCUCACUAUGUUGGGAUGGGAGAGAUUCUUCAAUAGAUUCACUUCUUCCUCGAGCUCUCUAACAUGAGCUUGAGCUCGCUCUCUUGAAGCACCAUUCAUCGCAAUGGAAACCUCCUUUAUAGCUAGAAGCUCUCCA
rnacentral:misc_RNA from 1 species